CAAACUUCAACGUAUAGGAGGUCUUACCUGCCCAGUGACUACAUGUUAAACGGCCGCGGUAUUUUGACCGUGCAAAGGUAGCGCAAUCACUUGUCUUUUAAAUGAAGACCCGUAUGAAUGGUGAAACGAGGGCUUAACUGUCUCCUUUUUCAAGUCAGUGAAAUUGAUCUCUCCGUGCAGAAGCGGACAUAAAAAUACAAGACGAGAAGACCCUUUGGAGCUUAAGAUAAAAAUCAACUAUGUCAAUAAUAAACUAAACCAAAUAGAAACUGAUUUAACAUCUUCGGUUGGGGCGACCGCGGGAGAAAAUAAAGCUCCCACGAGGACUGGGAAACAUCCUAAAACCAAGAGAGACAUCUCUACGUCACAGAAUUUCUGACCACUAAGAUCCGGCUACUAGCCGAUCAACGAACCAAGUUACCCUAGGGAUAACAGCGCAAUCCCCUUUCAGAGUCCAUAUCGACAAGGGGGUUUACGACCUCGAUGUUGGAUCAGGACAUCCUAAUGGUGCAGCCGCUAUUAAGGGUUCGUUUGUUCAACGAUUAAAGUCCU
rnacentral:rRNA from 1 species